ensembl:lncRNA
CAGGAGGCGGGGCGCGCACGGACGAGGUGCCCGGGGCGGAGGUGGGGGCCGAGGGCCAGAGCGCGGGGCAGCCGGCGGGGCAGGGCUGCAGGGACAGUAGGGGAGGCUCGGGGUAGAGUCUGGAGAAGAGUUGCAGAGACACUCAAGUCCAGGGGGAGGGAGAAGUCGGCGCCGGCCUUAGGAAAGGCUGAGAAAUGGGAACGGAGAGACCGGGAGCGGGGGACGGGAAGGCUGAGAAAACGGGAGGAGAACAAGUGGAGAAGGACACAGAGACGAGGAGCCAGAGCUUUCACGGGAGGCAGACGGAAGGGCUCAGGCCCAGGCCAGCCUCCGCUGACAGCGAAAGGUCCUUGGAUACCCAGAGGAGCAAAUCCCGGACUUGGACUGGAGGCAGGAAGCCCUGGCCAGGGCAGCGAGACAGACCCGGCUCCCCUGGCACCUCUGAGCCCAGCCUGGCUGGGAGCACCAGAUCAGGAGGCAGCCGUGUGGUCCCCUUACCACUGCGUUUCUGACGGUUCUGGAGGAGGCGCCUGAUCCGGAUUGGGC